AGCAGCCGCGGUAAUUCCAGCUCCAAUAGCGUAUAUUAAAGUUGUUGCAGUUAAAAAGCUCGUAGUUGAAUUUCGGGAUCAGUACGUUGGUCGUGCCUUCGGUAUGUACUGAUGUUACUGGUUCCUACCUUCUGAAGAACCGUUAUGUCAUUAAUUUGGUGUGGCGGGAAAUCAGGACUGUUACUUUGAAAAAAUUAGAGUGUUUAAAGCAGGCUC
rnacentral:rRNA from 1 species